GACAGAGGAUGCAAGCGUUAUCCGGAAUGAUUGGGCGUAAAGCGUCUGAUAGGUGGCUUUUCAAGUCCGCCGUCAAAUCCCAGGGCUCAACCCUGGACAGGCGGUGGAAACUACCAAGCUGGAGUACGGUAGGGGCAGGCGGAAUUCCGGGUGUAGCGGUGGAAUGCGUAGGAGAGUCCGGAGGAAGACCGGUGGCGAAGGCGGCCGACUGGGCAGUUACGUGACACUG
rnacentral:rRNA from 1 species